rnacentral:lncRNA from 1 species
AUAUAUGAUUGGUUUUAGGAUACAUUUUUCAACAACUUUUACUUAGACUAAAGCCAAUCAGAUCGGUAUCAAAUACCCAUCUUCUAUUUUAGAUUAUUGAACUCUUUAGAUCCGAUUGCUUUAGUCAAUGGUGUUGCCCAGCUAUGCAACCCAAGAGGGGAGGGUGAAUUGGGUUUCUAAAAAUUUUAGGCUUAAUUAAUUACUUAUGAUGAAUGAGAACAAAGACUUUAAUUCAAGAUUAAUUACCUAAAGUAAGAAUGCAAAGAUAUAAUAAAGAAAUAAAGAGAAACAAGCAAGCACACCACAAACACA